rnacentral:rRNA from 1 species
AUUGAACGCUGGCGGCAUGCCUUACACAUGCAAGUCGAACGGCAGCGGGCCUUCGGGUGCCGGCGAGUGGCGAACGGGUGAGUAAUGCAUCGGAACGUGCCAUUGAGUGGGGGGAUAACGUAGCGAAAGUUACGCUAAUACCGCAUAUUCUGUGAGCAGGAAAGCGGGGGACCGCAAGGCCUUGCGCUCUUUGAGCGGCCGAUGUCAGAUUAGCUAGUUGGUGAGGUAAAGGCUUACCAAGGCGACGAUCUGUAGCGGGUCUGAGAGGAUGAUCCGCCACACUGGAACUGAGACACGGUCCAGACUCCUACGGGAGGCAGCAGUGGGGAAUUUUGGACAAUGGGCGCAAGCCUGAUCCAGCCAUGCCGCGUGAGUGAAGAAGGCC